UUCUUCUUCUUCUUCUUUUCCUUCUUCCUUCUUUGUGUGGAUCGGGAGAAUGAAUACAGUGAGAACACCAUCAGCCCUUUGUCUCCCGAUCGUAAUUGGGUUUAUAUUGUUGAUGCUUCUGCAAAUGAGCCACGGACAGGGCAUCGCUCCUUCUACUGAGACUGCUCCAGCGCCUUCCGAUGGAACGAUGAUCGAUCAAGGGAUUGCUUACCUACUCAUGCUCAUGGCUUUGGCUCUCACUUACAUCAUUCACUGAUUUU